rnacentral:rRNA from 1 species
UACGAAGGGGGCUAGCGUUGUUCGGAAUUACUGGGCGUAAAGCGCACGUAGGCGGAUAUUUAAGUCAGGGGUGAAAUCCCAGAGCUCAACUCUGGAACUGCCUUUGAUACUGGGUAUCUUGAGUAUGGAAGAGGUAAGUGGAAUUGCGAGUGUAGAGGUGAAAUUCGUAGAUAUUCGCAGGAACACCAGUGGCGAAGGCGGCUUACUGGUCCAUAACUGACGCUGAGGUGCGAAAGCGUGGGGAGACAAAC